rnacentral:rRNA from 1 species
AUUGAACGCUGGCGGCAUGCUUUACACAUGCAAGUCGAACGGUAACAGGCCGCAAGGUGCUGACGAGUGGCGAACGGGUGAGUAAUGCAUCGGAACGUGCCCAGUCGUGGGGGAUAACGCAGCGAAAGCUGUGCUAAUACCGCAUACGAUCUAUGGAUGAAAGCGGGGGACCGUAAGGCCUCGCGCGAUUGGAGCGGCCGAUGUCAGAUUAGGGAGUUGGUGGGGUAAAGGCCCACCAAGCCAACGAUCUGUAGGUGGUCUGAGAGGACGACCAGACACACAGGGACUGAGACGCGGCCCAGACUCCUCCGGGAGGCAGCAGUGGGGAAUUUUGGACAAUGGGCGCAAGCCUGAUCCAGCAAUGCCGCGUGCAGGAAGAAGGCCUUCGGGUUGUAAACUGCUUUUGUACGGAACGAAACGGUCCGGGCUAAUACCCUGGGCUAAUGACGGUACCGUAAGAAUAAGCACCGGCUAACUACGUGCCAGCCGCCGCGGUAACAC